UACGAAGGGUGCGAACGUUAUUCGGAAUAAUUGGGCGUAAAGGGUGCGUAGGCGGUAUAUUAAGUCAACUGUUAAAUUCUUCGGCCUAACCGAUGAUCUGCAGUAGAUACUGGUAUGCUAGAGUAUGGAAGAGAGAAGUGGAAUUCUCGGAGUAGCGGUAAAAUGCGUAGAUCUCGAGAGGAACACCGAUGGCGAAGGCAGCUUCUUGGUCCAUUACUGACGCUGAUGCACGAAAGCGUGGGGAGCAAACAGGAUUAGAUACCCUGGUAGUCCACGCCGUAAACGAUGAUCACUAGACGUUGGAUCUGCUUAGCAGAUCCAGUGUCGUAGCUAACGCGUUAAGUGAUCCGCCUGGGGAGUACGGUCGCAAGAUUA
rnacentral:rRNA from 1 species